AGUGGCGAACGGGUGAGUAAUACAUCGGAACGUGCCCGAUCGUGGGGGAUAACGGAGCGAAAGCUUUGCUAAUACCGCAUACGAUCUACGGAUGAAAGCAGGGGACCGCAAGGCCUUGCGCGAACGGAGCGGCCGAUGGCAGAUUAGGUAGUUGGUGGGAUAAAAGCUUACCAAGCCGACGAUCUGUAGCUGGUCUGAGAGGACGACCAGCCACACUGGGACUGAGACACGGCCCAGACUCCUACGGGAGGCAGCAGUGGGGAAUUUUGGACAAUGGGCGAAAGCCUGAUCCAGCCAUGCCGCGUGCAGGAUGAAGGCCUUCGGGUUGUAAACUGCUUUUGUACGGAACGAAAAGACUCCUUCUAAUAAAGGGAGUCCAUGACGGUACCGUAAGAAUAAGCACCGGCUAACUACGUGCCAGCAGCCGCGGUAAUACGUAGGGUGCGAGCGUUAAUCGGAAUUACUGGGCGUAAAGCGUGCGCAGGCGGUUAUGUAAGACAGAUGUGAAAUCCCCGGGCUCAACCUGGGAACUGCAUUUGUGACUGCAUAGCUAGAGUACGGUAGAGGGGGAUGGAAUUCCGCGUGUAGCAGUGAAAUGCGU
rnacentral:rRNA from 1 species